UAGGGAAUCUUCCGCAAUGGACGCAAGUCUGACGGAGCAACGCCGCGUGAGUGAAGAAGGAUUUCGGUUCGUAAAACUCUGUUGUUAGAGAUGAACAGCGCAUAGAGUAACUGUUAUGCGUGUGACGGUAUCUAACCAGAAAGCCACGGCUAACUACGUGCCAGCAUCCGCGGUAAUACGUAGGUGGCAAGCGUUGUCCGGAUUUAUUGGGCGUAAAGCGAGCGCAGGCGGUCAAUAAAGUCUGAUGUGAAAGCCCCCGGCUCAACCGGGGGGGGUCAUUGGAAACUGGUUGACGUGAGUGCAGAAGAGGAGAGUGGAAUUCCAUGUGUAGCGGUGAAAUGCGUAGAUAUAAGGAGGAACACCAGUGGCGAAGGCGACUCUCUGGUCUGUAACUGACGCUGAGGCUCGAAAGCGUGGGUAGCAAACAGG
rnacentral:rRNA from 1 species